rnacentral:lncRNA from 1 species
UAGACGCAUGCAAUCUCAAUUUCCAACUUUGGAGAAUGGAUUAAAAUGCCCUCGUAUUUUAAUAGCCUGGCAUCGGUUAUCCCUUUUUCAGCUUUUUGUUGUAGUACUCCUCGUAUAUUAUGAGGGGUAUAUACUUUUAAUUCUCCUCCAAAGGUUAUCUUUUUAGCCUCUUCUACUAAUAAGGCUGUAGCUACAAUGGCUUGUAGGCAAGUGGGCCAUCCCCGACUGACGGGGUCUAACAAUUUUGAAAAAUACCCUAUAGGUUUCUUUUUCCCUGCCCAUUCCUGUGUUACGACUCCAAAGGCUGUCCCUUCCUGUGUAUUGAUAAACAUGUAGAAUGGUCUCUUAAUAUCUGGUAAACUCAAAACAGGUGCAUUCACCAAGUCGGCCUUCAAAUCUUCGAGGCUCUGAUCAUCGGUUUGAGUCCAUUUUAUUAGCCCAUCUGCUAUUAGUUUUUGAUAUAAAAAUUUUACUUUAUUGCUAUAAUUUUCAAUCCAUUGUCUGCAAUACCCUAAUAACCCCAGCAAUUGUCGGACCUGUCUUUUGCUCUUCGGGGGUCUUACUGACAGUAUACCAUUUAGCCUCAGGUGACAGCUGACUAAAUAUGGUAUAGGGGUUAGCUACAAUUGGGAACCUGGUAAUUGUUCUUUUGUUUAUUUCUCUUAAAUCUUGUACCAAUCUAUAAGUACCAUCUGACUUCUUUACGGGUAGUAUGGGGGUAUUAUGGGGAGACAUACAAGGCUCCAGCAACUUUUGAUUUAUUAGCCUCUGGAUUACUGGUCGGAGUCCUUGCCUCCCUUCCUGUGACAUUGGAUAUUGCUUGACUCUAACAGGGAUUUCUGGAUUCCGUAUAUUCACUUCAAAGGGAGCAAUAUCUAGUUUCCCUACUGAUUCUGGGGUAUACCAAACUUCAGGAUUGAUUUUGGCCUCAUCUUCAAUAGUAAGGGUGCAUAAUUUUAUAACUAAUUCUUGAUUCUUCACUUCUAAAUUGACUCCUAAUUCCACCAUAUCUCGGCCC